rnacentral:misc_RNA from 1 species
GGAAGCUAGGAUAGCUGCCUGGACAUUCCUUCCUAAAGAGAAUGGGGAAUCUAUUCAAAUACUGCAUUAUGAACAUGGCCAAAAGUAUGAGCCACAUUAUGAUUAUUUCCACGACAAGGUCAAUCAAGAGCUAGGUGGUCAUCGGGUGGCUACUGUUCUUAUGUAUUUGUCGGAUGUAGAGAAGGGCGGGGAAACCAUAUUUCCUAAUUCAGAGGCAAAAAAAUCUCAGCCAAAGGGUGAUGACUGGUCAGAUUGUGCUAAAAAUGGAUAUGCAGUGAAACCUAGGAAGGGUGAUGCAUUGUUGUUUUUCAGUCUUCAUCUCAAUGCAACAACUGAUCCCCUAAGCUUGCAUGGGAGCUGUCCAGUUAUCGAAGGUGAGAAAUGGUCUGCUACUAAAUGGAUUCAUGUGAGGUCCUUUGAGACUGUAUUUAAUAAUGAAUGCCAAGAUCAAAAUCCGAGCUGCUCCCAGUGGGCUGUUAAUGGUGAAUGUGAUAAAAAUCCUCUAUACAUGGUGGGUUCUGAAAAUUCUGUAGGUCAUUGUAGGAAGAGCUGCAAGGUUUGCUCCUGACAGGAAUAUGUAGACAAAAUUUCCUAUCACAUAUAAAUAUUACUAGUUGAGCAAUCUUAUCCACAUUCUUUGUAUAUCUGGUUUGUACAUUAAGUACCCUCUUAGAC